AGACACGAGUAUUAUCACUGCAUUCAUCCAUCCAUAUACCAACAACAUACAUAUCACAACAUAUGCAUCAAAAUAAUUAAAAUUGAAAGGAUAAAAAUGAUUUCAAACAAAAUGAAAAAUGCAUGUACACAUUCAACUCAGUGUUCAUCAUACAAACAUCACCUCAACAUCCAUAACAUACAUCAAUAACUUGCAUCAUUCAGCACACAACAUUCAUCAAUUAAAAU
rnacentral:lncRNA from 1 species